rnacentral:snRNA from 1 species
GGAUGUGAGGAUGAUCUGACUGCGACAUCUGUCACCCCAUUGAUCGCCAGGGUUGAUUCGGCUGAUCUGCCUGGCUAGGCGGGUGUCCCCUUCCUCCCUCACUGCUCCAAGUGCGUCCCUCCCGAAGCUGCGCGGUCGGUCGAAGAGGACGACCUUCCCCGAUAGAGGAGGACCGUUCCUUGGUCAAGGGUAUACGAGUAGCUGCGCUCCCCUGCUAGAACCUCCAAACAAGCUCUCAAGGUCUAUUUGACUUUAAAUGGAGCGGUGUAUCUGGCCAACUCUUUCUGAGAGUUUCUCUUUCAGA